GGGCCCGCACAAGCGGAGGAGCAUGUGGUUUAAUUCGAUGAUACGCGAGGAACCUUACCAAGGCUUAAAUGUAAUAUGACCGGUUGAGAGAUCAACCUUUUUUCGAACAGAUUACAAGGUGCUGCAUGGUUGUCGUCAGCUCGUGCCGUGAGGUGUCGGGUUAAGUCCCAUAACGAGCGCAACCCCUAUUUUUAGUUACCAGCGAGUAAUGUCGGGAACUCUAGAAAAACUGCCUGUGCAAACAGAGAGGAAGGUGGGGAUGACGUCAAAUCAUCACGGCCCUUAUGUCUUGGGCUACACACGUGCUACAAUGGUUACUACAAUGUGAUGCCAUCUGGUGACAGAGAGCUAAUCAAUAAAGGUAAUCUCAGUUCGGAUCGGAGUCUGCAACUCGACUCUGUGAAGUUGGAUUCGCUAGUAAUCGUAUAU
rnacentral:rRNA from 1 species